rnacentral:rRNA from 1 species
UACGUAGGUGGCGAGCGUUGUCCGGAUUUACUGGGCGUAAAGAGCGCGCAGGCGGUCGUACAAGUCGCGUGUGAAAGCCCCCGGCUCAACUGGGGAGGGUCACGCGAUACUGUUCGACUCGAAGGCAGGAGAGGGUAGUGGAAUUCCCGGUGUAGUGGUGGAAUGCGUAGAUAUCGGGAGGAACACCAGUGGCGAAGGCGACUACCUGGCCUGUUCUUGACGCUGAGGCGCGAAAGCUAGGGUAGCAAACGGG